GACGAACGCUGGCGGCGUGCUUAACACAUGCAAGUCGAACGGAAAGGCCCUGCUUUUGUGGGGUGCUCGAGUGGCGAACGGGUGAGUAACACGUGAGUAACCUGCCCGUGACUUUGGGAUAACUUCAGGAAACUGGGGCUAAUACCGGAUAGGAUCUCCUGCUGCAUGGUGGGGGUGGGAAAGUUUCGGCGGUUGGGGAUGGACUCGCGGCUUAUCAGCUUGUUGGUGGGGUAGUGGCUUACCAAGGCUUUGCCGGGUAGCCGGCCUGAGAGGGUGACCGGCCACAUUGGGACUGAGAUACGGCCCAGACUCCUACGGGAGGCAGCGGUGGGGAAUAUUGCACAAUGGGCGGAAGCCUGAUGCAGCAACGCCGCGUGGGGGAUGACGGCCUUCGGGUUGUAAACCGCUUUCGCCUGUGACGAAGCGUGAGUGACGGUAAUGGGUAAAGAAGCACCGGCUAACUACGUG
rnacentral:rRNA from 1 species